CCAGAGCUAAUUUGGCGGUAAACACUGCUUUAGAAUGCUCAUUUUCUUGAAGGAAACACUGUUCAGACAGAGACUUCUGUUCUGAAUACGCUGUUUAAUGUAGGUAUGCAGGUUAUUUUCUGCAGUUCAGUUAGGAUAUAGUGCAAAUGGGUCAGAAGCUUGGGUCAUAAGGCUAUGGCUUACCUACUGGUAGCUUCAGUGAUUACUGCAGAAGAAGGAGAAAAUGUGGAAGACAAAGCAAUGUAUAUCUAUUGCUCCUAAUGUGGACCUCCGAAGGAGCUGCUGUGCUACAAGUCAAUGGAACCUGAUACUCAUCAGAAAGACCACAGAGAAGACUGGAAGGAGGUCAUUCCUCUCAUCUCCUCAGCCUGCUGGUGCAGAUUUCCAACGUGCCCACAUUAUGGGAGUUUCUGUUUGUAUCCCACAGUAUGUUUGGCCUGAAGACCAUUGUGGAAAUAUGAGAUGACUUUUUAGACCUUUCUUCUAGCCUGAAGAAAGACGUUCUACUUAGGAUUAUCUUGCAAUCCAAUAAAUAAUAGCAGCUGGUCAGAAACCUGGUCUGGGAACACUGUUGGGAACACUGUUGUGUUUGUUUAAUUAUUUGUAAUAAUUUUAUUUUUGCAGGGAUAUGCUAAGUCUUUUCAAGUGCAAAAGGGAAAGAUGAAAAAAAGAAAAAAAAAGUUUUGAUUUGAAAGGCCAAGUACAGAUCUUUGUGCUGUCUUUCAUAUACUCUAGGACCUGCCCUUCUCUUUUUAUGCACGAUCACAUACGCUCCAAACAUCUAAGAAGCUUCUGUUGGUGUUGGGGGUUAAAAUUCCUAGGAUUAGAAGCAGAGGUUUUGGAGUCAAGGGCCCCCACCUCUGGAAUUAGUUUUCCUUGGUUUCCUGCCAGUGUCCAUCCAGUAAGCUUCAGAACACAUGGGGAAAUGUUUAUAUUUGGGUUAGCUUCUCUCUAUUUUUAGAUGGUUUGGUUUUGCUUUGAAUUUUACUCUACAGAUGUGAAGAUGGUAGAUUGGCUAUUGUUAUUUUCUAAGAGAAUGAUUUAGCACUACCCAUUACGAGAAGGCUCCCGUGUCCUUUAUCAGUAAUCUUGUAAGAACAUGCUGCAGCCUGUGAAUGAAUAUUUGCAUUCUUACUUCCACAUCAUCAUUUUCCAACCUGUGCUACUGGGAUUACGUUGAGCCGAGCUGGAAAAGCUCCCAAGCCCAGAAUGUUGUACCCUGUGCGUGUUGUUGGCCCUGUUGUUUGGAGGGAACAGGACUGCAUGGACUGACAGGGGUUGGGUGAUUUGCUACCUACAUGUGCUCCUGCUUCGCACUGCAAGCAUCAUCUUUGUCAUACAGCAGGAUGUUUAAAUCUUUGUACCCCAAAAUGUGGACGAUCUUUAAAUGAUUAUAAAUAAAUGAUUGUAAGUAGUAUUUGGUUAUAAA
ensembl:lncRNA